AUUAGGGAACUAGAUUAACUAUGC
rnacentral:piRNA from 1 species